rnacentral:rRNA from 1 species
AGAGUUUGAUUAUGGCUCAGGAUGAACGCUGGCGGCGUGCCUAACACAUGCAAGUCGAGCGAUUACUUCGGUAAAGAGCGGCGGACGGGUGAGUAACGCGUGGGUAACCUGCCUCAUACACAUGGAUAACAUACCGAAAGGUAUGCUAAUACAGGAUAAUAUAAGAGAUUCACAUGGAUUUCUUAUCAAAGCUCCGGCGGUAUGAGAUGGACCCGCGUCUGAUUAGCUAGUUGGUAAGGUAAUGGCUUACCAAGGCGACGAUCAGUAGCCGACCUGAGAGGGUGAUCGGCCACAUUGGAACUGAGACACGGUCCAAACUCCUACGGGAGGCAGCAGUGGGGAAUAUUGCACAAUGGGCGAAAGCCUGAUGCCAGCAACGCCGCGUGAGUGAUGAAGGCCUUCGGGUCGUAAAACUCUGUCCUCAAGGAAGAUAAUGACGGUACUUGAGGAGGAAGCCCCGGCUAACUACGUGCCAGCAGCCGC